rnacentral:rRNA from 1 species
AUUGAACGCUGGCGGCAGGCCUAACACAUGAAAGUCGAGCGGAGCGGCGGAAGGGUAAGGAAUGCCGAGGACUCUGCCCGUGAGUGGGGGAUAACGUCAGGGAAGGGGAGCUAAUACAGCAUACUAUCAGAUGAGACUAGGGCGGAUUAGCUAGUUGGUGGGGUAACGGCCUACCAAGGCGGCGAUCCGUAACUGGUCUGAGAGGAUGAUCAGUCACACUGGAACUGAGACACGGUCCAGACUCCUACGGGAGGCAGCAGUGGGGAAUAUUGGACAAUGGGCGAAAGCCUGAUCCAGCCAUGCCGCGUGUGUGAAGAAGGUCUUCGGAUUGUAAAGCACUUUAAGUUGGGAGGCGUUACCAACAGAAUAAGCACCGGCUAACUUCGUGCCAGCAGCCGCGGUAAUAC